GGAUUAGAUACCCUGGUAGUCCACAGCCGUAAACGAUGGAUACUAGUUGCUGCAGGAGGUGACACCCGCAGUGACGUAGCUAACGCGUUAAGUAUCCCGCCUGGGGAGUACGACCGCAAGGUUGAAACUCAAAGGAAUUGACGGGGGCCCGCACAAGCGGUGGAACAUGUGGUUUAAUUCGACAACGCGCAGAACCUUACCUGGACUUGACAUCUUAGGAACUUUCUAGAGAUAGAUUGGUGCCUUCGGGAACCUAAAGACAGAUGCUGCAUGGCUGUCGUCAGCUCGUGCUG
rnacentral:rRNA from 1 species